rnacentral:rRNA from 1 species
UACGGAGGAGGCAAGCGUUAUCCGGAAUUACUGGGCGUAAAGCGCACGUAGGCGGAUUUGUAAGUCAGGGGUGAAAUCCCGGGGCUCAACCUCGGAACUGCCUUUGAUACUGCAAAUCUCGAGUCCGGAAGAGGUGAGUGGAAUUCCUAGUGUAGAGGUGAAAUUCGUAGAUAUUAGGAAGAACACCAGUGGCGAAGGCGGCUCACUGGUCCGGUACUGACGCUGAGGUGCGAAAGCGUGGGGAGCAAACAGG